rnacentral:rRNA from 1 species
GACGAACGCUGGCGGCGUGCCUAAUACAUGCAAGUCGUGCGCAGGAAGCAGACUGAAAUCUUCGGAUGGACGUCUGUGGAAUGAGCGGCGGAUGGGUGAGUAACACGUGGGUAACCUGCCUACAAGCUUGGGAUAACUCGCGGAAACGCGAGCUAAUACCAGAUAACACCUUUUACCUCCUGGUAAAAGGAUAAAAGACGGUUUCGGCUG